rnacentral:rRNA from 1 species
AGGACGAACGCUUGCGGCAUGCCUGAGAAAUGCAAGUCGAGCGGGGAGAGGGGCAACCCUUUUCUAGCGGCGAACGGUCGAGUAACGCGUAAGCAACCUGCCCGGAAGCGGGGGAUAAGCCGGAGAAAUCCGGGGUAAUACCGCAUAGCUUGGGGGGAGACCUCUCCCUUCAAGAAAGGUGAGCGAUCAUCACUUUCGGAGGGGCUUGCGGCCUAUCAGCUAGUUGGGGGGGUCACGGCCUCCCAAGGCGACGACGGGUAGCUGGUCUGAGAGGACGGCCAGCCGGACUGGGACUGAGACACGGCCCAGACUCCUACGGGGGGCAGCAAUCAGGAAUCUUGCACAAUGGACGAAAGUCUGAUGCAGCGAUGCCGCGUGGGUGAGGAAGUCCUCGGGAUGUAAAGCCUUUCUGGAGGACGAUGAUGACGGUACUCCAGGAAUAACGCCCGCUAACUACGUGCCAGCAGCCGC